rnacentral:rRNA from 1 species
AUUGAACGCUGGCGGCAGGCUUAACACAUGCAAGUCGAGCGGGGGAAGGUAGCUUGCUACCGGACCUAGCGGCGGACGGGUGAGUAAUGCUUAGGAAUCUGCCUAUUAGUGGGGGACAACAUCUCGAAAGGGAUGCUAAUACCGCAUACGUCCUACGGGAGAAAGCAGGGGAUCUUCGGACCUUGCGCUAAUAGAUGAGCCUAAGUCGGAUUAGCUAGUUGGUGGGGUAAAGGCCUACCAAGGCGACGAUCUGUAGCGGGUCUGAGAGGAUGGUCCGCCACACUGGGACUGAGACACGGCCCAGACUCCUACGGGAGGCAGCAGUGGGGAAUAUUGGACAAUGGGGGGAACCCUGAUCUAGCCAUGCCGCGUGUGUGAAGAAGGCCUUAUGGUUGUAAAGCACUUUAAGCGAGGAGGAGGCUACUCUAGUUAAUACCUAGGGAUAGUGGACGUUACUCGCAGAAUAAGCACCGGCUAACUCUGUGCCAGCCGCCGCCGUAA